UACGUAGGGUGCGAGCGUUGUCCGGAAUUAUUGGGCGUAAAGAGCUCGUAGGCGGUUUGUUGCGUCUAUCGUGAAAACCUGCGGCUUAACUGUGGGCGUGCGGGCGAUACGGGCAGACUGGAGUACUGCAGGGGAGACUGGAAUUCCUGGUGUAGCGGUGGAAUGCGCAGAUAUCAGGAGGAACACCGGUGGCGAAGGCGGGUCUCUGGGCAGUAACUGACGCUGAGGAGCGAAAGCGUGGGGAGCGAACAGG
rnacentral:rRNA from 1 species